UAGGGAAUCUUCGGCAAUGGGGGCAACCCUGACCGAGCAACGCCGCGUGAGUGAAGAAGGUUUUCGGAUCGUAAAGCUCUGUUGUAAGUCAAGAACGAGUGUGAGAGUGGAAAGUUCACACUGUGACGGUAGCUUACCAGAAAGGGACGGCUAACUACGUGCCAGCAGCCGCGGUAAUACGUAGGUCCCGAGCGUUGUCCGGAUUUAUUGGGCGUAAAGCGAGCGCAGGCGGUUUGAUAAGUCUGAAGUUAAAGGCUGUGGCUCAACCAUAGUUCGCUUUGGAAACUGUCAAACUUGAGUGCAGAAGGGGAGAGUGGAAUUCCAUGUGUAGCGGUGAAAUGCGUAGAUAUAUGGAGGAACACCGGUGGCGAAAGCGGCUCUCUGGUCUGUAACUGACGCUGAGGCUCGAAAGCGUGGGGAGCGAACAGGACUAGAUACCCUGGUAGUCCACGCCGUAAACGAUGAGUGCUAGGUGUUGGAUCCUUUCCGGGAUUCAGUGCCGCAGCUAACGCAUUAAGCACUCCGCCUGGGGAGUACGACCGCAAGGUUG
rnacentral:rRNA from 1 species